rnacentral:rRNA from 1 species
CCCAGACUCCUACGGGAGGCAGCAGUGGGGAAUAUUGCACAAUGGGGGAAACCCUGAUGCAGCGACGCCGCGUGAGUGAAGAAGUAUCUCGGUACGUAAAGCUCUAUCAGCAGGGAAGAAAAUGACGGUACCUGAGUAAGAAGCCCCGGCUAACUACGUGCCAGCAGCCGCGGUAAUACGUAGGGGGCAAGCGUUAUCCGGAUUUACUGGGUGUAAAGGGAGCGUAGACGGCGAUGCAAGCCAGAUGUGAAAGCCCGCGGCUCAACUGCGGUAGUGCAUUUGGAACUGUAUGGCUGGAGUGCAGGAGAGGCAGGCGGAAUUCCUAGUGUAGCGGUGAAAUGCGUAGAUAUUAGGAGGAACACCAGUGGCGAAGGCGGCCUGCUGGACUGUAACUGACGUUGAGGCUCGAAAGCGUGGGGAGCAAACAGGAUUAGAUACCCGGGUAUAA